UCUUAACUGGGCGUUAAGUUGCAGGGUAUAGACCCGAAACCCGGUGAUCUAGCCAUGGGCAGGUUGAAGGUUGGGUAACACUAACUGGAGGACCGAACCGACUAAUGUUGAAAAAUUAGCGGAUGACUUGUGGCUGGGGGUGAAAGGCCAAUCAAACCGGGAGAUAGCUGGUUCUCCCCGAAAGCUAUUUAGGUAGCGCCUCGUGAAUUCAUCUCCGGGGGUAGAGCACUGUUUCGGCAAGGGGGUCAUCCCGACUUACCAACCCGAUGCAAACUGCGAAUACCGGAGAAUGUUAUCACGGGAGACACACGGCGGGUGCUAACGUCCGUCGUGAAGAGGGAAACAACCCAGACCGCCAGCUAAGGUCCCAAAGUCAUGGUUAAGUGGGAAACGAUGUGGGAAGGCCCAGACAGCCAGGAUGUUGGCUUAGAAGCAGCCAUCAUUUAAAGAAAGCGUAAUAGCUCACUGGUCGAGUCGGCCUGCGCGGAAGAUGUAACGGGGCUAAACCAUGCACCGAAGCUGCGGCAGCGACGCUGAUGCGUUGUUGGGUAGGGGAGCGUUCUGUAAGCCUGUGAAGGUGUGCUGUGAGGCAUGCUGGAGGUAUCAGAAGUGCGAAUGCUGACAUAAGUAACGAUAAAGCGGGUGAAAAGCCCGCUCGCCGGAAGACCAAGGGUUCCUGUCCAACGUUAAUCGGGGCAGGGUGAGUCGACCCCUAAGGCGAGGCCGAAAGGCGUAGUCGAUGGGAAACAGGUUAAUAUUCCUGUACUUGGUGUUACUGCGAAGGGGGGACGGAGAAGGCUAUGUUGGCCGGGCGACGGUUGUCCCGGUUUAAGCGUGUAGGCUGGUUUUCCAGGCAAAUCCGGAAAAUCAAGGCUGAGGCGUGAUGACGAGGCACUACGGUGCUGAAGCAACAAAUGCCCUGCUUCCAGGAAAAGCCUCUAAGCAUCAGGUAACAUCAAAUCGUACCCCAAACCGACACAGGUGGUCAGGUAGAGAAUACCAAGGCGCUUGAGAGAACUCGGGUGAAGGAACUAGGCAAAAUGGUGCCGUAACUUCGGGAGAAGGCACGCUGAUAUGUAGGUGAAGCGACUUGCUCGUGGAGCUGAAAUCAGUCGAAGAUACCAGCUGGCUGCAACUGUUUAUUAAAAACACAGCACUGUGCAAACACGAAAGUGGACGUAUACGGUGUGACGCCUGCCCGGUGCCGGAAGGUUAAUUGAUGGGGUCAGCGCAAGCGAAGCUCUUGAUCGAAGCCCCGGUAAACGGCGGCCGUAACUAUAACGGUCCUAAGGUAGCGAAAUUCCUUGUCGGGUAAGUUCCGACCUGCACGAAUGGCGUAAUGAUGGCCAGGCUGUCUCCACCCGAGACUCAGUGAAAUUGAACUCGCUGUGAAGAUGCAGUGUACCCGCGGCAAGACGGAAAGACCCCGUGAACCUUUACUAUAGCUUGACACUGAACAUUGAGCCUUGAUGUGUAGGAUAGGUGGGAGGCUUUGAAGUGUGG
rnacentral:rRNA from 1 species